rnacentral:rRNA from 1 species
GAACAAAAAAUCCUCCGAAUGAUUAUAACCUAGACAAACAAGUCAAAGUAACCCUAUAAUCUUAUUGACCCAAAACUUUUUUGAUCAACGGACCAAGUUACCCUAGGGAUAACAGCGCAAUCCUAUUUAAGAGUCCAUAUCGACAAUUAGGGUUUACGACCUCGAUGUUGGAUCAGGACAUCCCAAUGGUGCAGAAGCUAUUAAUGGUUCGUUUGUUCAACGAUUAAAGUCCUACGUGAUCUGAGUUCAGACCGGAGUA